rnacentral:rRNA from 1 species
AACGAACGCUGGCGGCAUGCCUAACACAUGCAAGUCGAACGAAGGCUUCGGCCUUAGUGGCGCACGGGUGCGUAACGCGUGGGAAUCUGCCCCUCGGUUCGGAAUAACAGUUAGAAAUGACUGCUAAUACCGGAUGAUGACUUCGGUCCAAAGAUUUAUCGCCGAGGGAUGAGCCCGCGUAAGAUUAGGUAGUUGGUGGGGUAAAGGCCUACCAAGCCGACGAUCUUUAGCUGGUCUGAGAGGAUGAUCAGCCACACUGGGACUGGGACACGGCCCAGACUCCUACGGGGGGCAGCAGUGGGGAAUAUUGGACAAUGGGCGAAAGCCUGAUCCAGCAACGCCGCGUGAGUGAUGAAGGCCUUAGAGUUGUAAAGCUCUUUUACCAGGGAUGAUAAUGACAGUACCUGGAGAAUAAGCUCCGGCUAACUCCGUGCCAGCAGCCGCCGUAA